rnacentral:tRNA from 1 species
GCCGCCGAGGGCCCAAAUCGGAGCAGGGCUACGCCGUUUCGCGGGGUAGAGUGCAGCGGGUUCGAAUCCCGUCGGGCGGCU